UACAGAGGUCUCGAGCGUUAGGCGGAAUCACUGGGCUUAAAGCGUGUGUAGGCGGAUCGUUAAGUGCCUUGUGAAAUCCCACGGCUCAACCGUGGAACUGCUUGGCAUACUGGCGGUCUUGAGCAACCUAGGGGCGAGCGGAACAAAUGGUGGAGCGGUGAAAUGCGUAGAUAUCAUUUGGAACGCCAAUGGUGAAAACAGGUAACUGGGAGUGUGCUGACGCUGAGACACGAAAGCUAGGGGAGCAAACGGG
rnacentral:rRNA from 1 species